rnacentral:tRNA from 1 species
GGAGAGAUGUCUGAGUGGCUGAAGGAGCACGCCUGGAAAGCGUGUGUACGUGAAAGCGUACCGAGGGUUCGAAUCCCUCUCUCUCCGCCA